AAUUCUGUAGUUUAAGUUUAAAACUUAAAAUUGCAAGUUUUAUGAUGGUACUUCCCUGAAU
rnacentral:tRNA from 1 species